GCCUGGGUGGCUCAGUCAGUUGAGCGUCUGACUUUGACUCAGGUCAUGAUCUCGCAGUCUGUGAGUUCGAGCCCCACAUCCGGCU
rnacentral:tRNA from 1 species